rnacentral:lncRNA from 1 species
AAGAUUCGAAGAAGGUGGCGCGUGUUAUUGUGCACAACGGCGUGUAAUACGUGCUUGAACGAAGAGGUUAUUUUCGUUCCCUUUUAUAUUUUAUCUUUGUUCCAAUUUAAAUUAACUGUUCGUUCAUGAAUAUUCGGGUUUGGGUGGAUAAGUGGAUGGAAAGGGAGAGUGAUUUUUUUUCUCUUUCGGAUGAUUUGUUUUUUUAAUUCGAAAAAGUUGUUUCUAAUUUUAAAGGAGAUAUAACCCGGUUUAAUAAAACUUUAUAAACGGGACACACGCAUCAAAUGGUUUACGAUAUUUGGAUGUCCUUCAAGUCACCUUAAGAAUUUUCAUCAACGAUAAAUUCAUUCGAUGUUCAAGCUAUUUUUGCACGUUAUUUGAUUUUUCGAUGAAAUUAUUUUUUUAAUUCAAAUUUUCUUUUAUCGUGAUAUGAAUUCUUGUCUUUAUGGAAACAAGUAUAGAGAGUUUUGUAAGACUUGUAGAUGUAAGUACAAAUUAUAAAUUCAAUUUAUCAAACAUCUCGUUUACCAACGUGUUUAAUCAGUUAAAAAACUUAGGAAUUAUUAUUAGAAAUUAUAACUAAUCUACGAGAGUGCUGUUAAUAAUACAAAUAAUACGAUCAUAUCAUGGGUUAAACGCCUCUAUGCAAACAUGAGUCAACGUGAUUAAUCAUAAAAUACGAGGAAACCAUCCGUAACGUUAUUAUUAUUAUUAUUAAUGAAAACUGAAAACAACAUAUUUAUAGAGUGGAAUUCCUUUAAAACAUUCUUUCGUAUUGCGAAUUAAUUAUUGAAAUUGGAAAUGUAAAAAUUUCAAUGAAUUGAAAAGAAGUAUUUUGCCAAAAAUUUGAAUUAAUUCGAUUGAUACAAUUAUUUGAGAGUAAUAAUUAGUGAGAAAUAAAAUGAUAUAUUGUUUAGAUAAUCAUUAUCUCAAAUAUUUGAUUAUUCAAAUAAUGCGUAAUACACACGUAUAUAAUUUCAAUAAUUAUUAUAUAUUAACUCAAACAUUUGUACAAUAUUCAAAUAUUUAAACAAUAUCCAAUCUUCAAAUAUUCUCGAAACUACUAAUCACAACUUUAUAUUACCACUUAUCUCCUUCCAAUGUUCUAUAAUUAACAUAUCUAAUUAUUCUAAUUAUUCUAAAUAAUCUCCAUUUUUUCGAAAAAAAACUGAUUAUACAUUUUUUUAACGAUUAUUUAUCAAUUCCUGGAAGGAAAAAUUAUAAAUAGCAAUUUAUAAAAAAGUGAAGUCAAUGAAUCAAGUCUCUUCUGGAACAUAGUUCUCCUCUAGAGUAACGACACUCAACUUUAUCAACGAGUUUGUAAAAAAAGAAAUAUAAAAAAAAAAAAAAAAAUCGUUGAACUAGGACGACAAAAAUAACAAAGCCGAAUCACGAGGAUUAAAUUCCAUUUUCAUGACUGUGCGCCCAAGCUAUUUAUCAACAGAGGAAAAACGAGGGAAUCGCGGGAGCAGAUGGUGGCGCCACUAUUAAUAAAAAUAAUACAUAACCUACGUGUCGCGAAACAACCUCGUGAUCGUCGUGAACGCGAAAAACAGUGGGGUAUUAACACCAGUUUAUGUAAACGGGAAAGAGACAAGAGAGUUUCGAAAAUAGUCGUUCGCGACCCACCACCGCGUACGCAUUUAGACGGCCGCGCUAAACUUAGAUUGUUUUCUGAACAAACGGGUUAAGAGGGGGCCCGGAGAAGUGUAUGACACGAUGGAAAAUGCUUGGAAAGAAACACGUUUAUACGGAGCGGCUCGAUUAACCGGAACACCCUUUUACGAACGAUUGUACAUAUUGCAUUGAUCGUUCGAUGAAAACUUGAUAAUCUCUGGAAACAGCUACAACGUCGAGGAAAUUUAUCUUACGUAACAAAAGGAAUUACGUAGGACAGUUGAGGAAGAGGAGGAGGGAUAUACGGAACACGUGUCUUGGAUGGAGAGGCUCGUAAGAGGGCAUGAGCAUUGAAAGCGUUCACAGCGAACAAAUGGAAGCUUGGAUACUUAACUGGAGGAAACCGUAGUAUUACACUACUUGGUGACAUUUUAGCUGGUAUAAAACCAGAGAUCGUAAUGCUUCAAGAGAAAUUGAAAAAAAAGAAAGGAAAAAGAAUGUGCAAAAACCUGUAUCUUACUAGUAUCUCCUCUGUUUUUAUAUUUGUUCUUAUGUUUUCUUGUGUUUUCAGAGAUACAUAUUAUGGAUAGAUGAGAUGAGACAAUUUCACUCCAUUAUGGAUAUGAUCUUGAGAUCAGAAUUCGAGGAGGAUAAUCUUGAAAUGAAAAGAGUCUGAAUUGGAGAUAGAUUCAAAGUGGAGGAAAUUUUGUUUGAAAUGAUUUGAAAGAAAAAAAAGUUAUUAGGAUAGUCUAUGCGUGAAAUAUUGAUAAUUGUAGGAUUAAAAAAUUUCACUUAGAAAUGAGCUGGAGCUCUCCUUUCAAAAUUGAAGAUCAAUGGAUCUUGGAAUUAAUGGAUCCUAUAAAAAAUGAUUCUCUAAGAUAACUUGAAAAAAUAAAUCUAUUUGGAUCUAAGAAAUUUGGUUCCAAAGUGGAGGGAUUCUUGUUAAAUAAAUGCUAUGAAGAAUUGAUCACAAAAUUAACACAUUCCUGUUCAGAUGAUGUUUAAAUUUAUGAAUUGUUAUGGAUUCUAGAAUCGAGAAUCUCGAUUGAAGUGAAUCAAACAAUAAGGAUUUCUAUAAAUUAUUAUAUAUUAUUAUCAGUAUUAUUAAUUCAUUGAUAAUGGACCAUAUGGACAGUUAUGGAGGAAGAUAUAUUUCUGGAAAAUCCCUAUUAUGACUCUUAUCCAUUAAACGCAAGUGAGAAUACACGUUAGAAAAACUUAAUUGAUCGAGCAGUUUCAAACGUGUUACUAAUUACCACUAUUUACAUGAUAAUUAAGCUCGCGCUAAUAGAAGAGAAAUACGAUAAUCGAUCGUUCUACACUGUCAACCGUGAUACCAUGAGGAAAUAAAAUAUUUCUUGGAACGAAAUGAAACAAGUUUCGAUUACGAGUAUCACGUUCAUAACGUUUGGAAAAAAUAUUUUGUUCGCAUAAAAGGAAAAGAAUCGAGACCUUUUAGAAACAGUUAAAUUAAUAAUUCUAUUUUCAAAGAAAUGUAAUAUUCGACGAGGCUCAAAUUUUCUUCCUCAGAAUAUCGUCUAAUUGUUAAAUAUUCAAUUGUUAGAAAAAGAAGAAAAAAAAUAUAUACAUCUUUUUGCAUCAAUUUUCUCUUCAUCAAUUUCAAUAUUUUAAGGAUGUUAAUGCGCACCUUAUGCUUGCCUAUUUAAGGCAAUAUACCCAUGCUCAUAUUACGGAUCACUUGCUACGGAUGAUCAGCUGAUCAAUUAAAAUCUGUGGUUGACGACCAAUGAUCCGUGAUACGAGCAUAGAUACCUUAAAUAGGCGACAACCGAUAACGUAUCUGAUGAACUCUGCAAACUCUCUCCAGAUGCACAGCAUACGUUGAAUUAAUUCAAGGAGAAAUUAUAAAUAAUAUGUUUUAAUAUGAAGAGACUUUACAUCAAGUUUUUCUUUUUAAUUUAAUUGUGAUCAUAUUGUUUUACAUUGGAAUAUCUAAUUUGUUAUUUUCAUGAAAUAAUACUGGAUGGAUAUAUAUAUAUUGGUAGAUAUUUUUGGUCCAACAAAUCCAAAAGUUGUGUGCAACAAAACAAUGAUAUUUUAUCUAUUCGUUCAGAAAAUAAUGAGUAUAUUCUCAUUUAAAUGUAUGUGCCAAGUACAUCUGCAAAUUCUAAAUAAACAUUGUUUAACACAUCAUGACAUCCCAAUUACAGUGUUUUCAUGAAUUUAAUUUUCAUCAGUUGAGAACAAUAAUUGUAAAAAAUAUAUACAUAUUUACAUUUAACAUUUCUUUCUCAAAUUAAUAUUUCCAAUUAUUCAGAAUAAAAAUUUCAAUAAGAAAAGAAAUAACGAUGAAAUAAUUCAAUGUUUUGAAUAUUAUAUUAAAGUAUCAUCCAGGCAAAUAUUUCCAUAAGUAUUUCGCAACGAUGCUCUAAAUCAUUAAAUCUAUGGACAAUCAAACUGUUACAGAAAAACCAAUGAAUGAUGGAUUUCGAUAAAUUUAAAGGAAAGCAAUAGAAGGCCAAAUAUUAAGAAGAAAUAGAAGGAAGAAGAAAAAGAAGAAGUAAAAAUAUAUAUAUAAAAGAGAAAAGUAGCGAUGCUGGUCUCGUUAAGACGCUUCAAGAUGGUACUUCCCCCAUUUCCUCCUCAUCUCAUGAUUCGCUAUCAAAGCCGCCAUCUUGAAAGCACUUUAAAUCAAUUUAUUAGCUUCGUUUUUAAUCACCCUCCCCGUUUCGAACUGUCCACGAUAAGGAGGAGGAGGAGGAGAAGACACUGGGGUAGAGGUGAAAGAGGACGAACGAAAGAAAUUACCGAGGAGUCGAUCGUGGAAAUAUUUUUCCUCCAAUGGCGAUCUCUCGCUUCGCCUUCAUCAUCCCUUGCAUCUUGAUUAAACAAUCCUACGGCAUUCCGCCAUGCUUGUUCCACUCGAAAUUACCCUCUCAGAUUAUAUUCCAACUAUUCACGUUAUUUCGACGACAACCAGCCUCGCCAAUCAACCGAUUCUUGAAAGAGGAAUGGAAAUAUGGGGAGCCUGCUUUGGAUAACGAUUAAUGUGCGAAUUCCACUUCAUAUAAGUGAGACUUAGAGAAGAUGAAGAUUCUGAUUGAUUUUUAAAUUAUUAAAUGGAAAUUAAAGGAUAUAGUGUUUUUUAAUUAUUGAAAUGAAUUUUUGAAGGGGAAUGUGGAAAUGUGCAGCUCUCCUUUGGAUGAUUAAUGAGAAUUCCUCCACAACCUCUAAGUGAGAUUUAUCAGAGAAGAUGAAGAUUCUGAUUGAUUUGUCAUUUUAAAUUAUUAAAUGGGGAUUAAAGGAUACAAUGUUUUUAAAGUAUUGAAAUAAAUUUUUGAAGGGAGAUUAUUAAUGAGAAUUCCUCCACACUCUAUUGAAAUUAAUCUUAAAAGAUGAAGAUUUUGAUUUGUUAUUUUAAAUUAUUAAAUUGAAAUUAAAAAGUACAAUGUUUUUGAACUAAUGAAAUAAAUUUUUAAAAGGGGAUUAUUAAUGAGAAUUCCUCCACAUCCUAUAAUUGGGAUUAAUCUUAAAAGAUGAAGAUUCUGAUUUGUCAUUUUAAAUUAUUAAAUUGAAAUUAAAGAAUAUAAUGUUUUUGAACCAUUAAAAUGAAUUUUUGAAGGGGGAUUAUUAAUGAGAAUUCCUCCACAUCCUAUAAUUGGGAUUAAUCUUAAAAGAUGAAGAUUCUGAUUUGUUAUUUUAAAUUAUUAAAUUGAAAUUAAAGAAUAUAAUGUUUUUGAACUAUUAAAAUGAAUUUUUGAAGGGGGAUGUGGAAAUGUUCAGCUCUCCUUUAGAUGAUUAAUGAGAAUUCCUCCACAUUCUAUAAAUAGGAUUUAUCAGAGAAGAUGAAGAUUUUGAUUGAUUUGUUAUUUUAAAUUAUUAAAUGGAGAUUAAAGAAUACAGUGUUUUUAAACUAUUGAAAUGAAUUUUUGAAGGGGGAUGUGGAAAUAUUCAGCUCUCCUUUGGAUGAUUAAUGAGAAUUCCUCCACACCCUAUAAUUGAGAUUGAUCUUAAAAGAUUCUGAUUGAUUUUAAAUUAUUAAAUACAAUAUUUUUGAACUAUUGAAAUGAAUUUUUGAAGGGGGAUGUGGAAAUAUUCAGCUCUGCUUUUAAUGAUUGCUGGAUAGUCCAUGAAUUUAUUGAAAGAAUAGAGAUUGUGAUUGAUUAGAAUUUGUCAUUUUGAAUUAAUAAAUUGGAAUUGAAAAAUA